GAUGAACGCUGGCGGCGUGCCUAAUACAUGCAAGUCGAACGAGGUGCUUUUGUAGCAAUACGAGAGUAUCCUAGUGGCGAACGGGUGAGUAACGCGUUGGUGACCUACCCCAAAGUGUGGAAUAACAGUCCGAAAGGAUUGCUAAUACCGCAUGUGGUUAUCGGGUUUAGAAACUGAUAACUAAAGGAGCAAUUCGCUUUGGGAGGGACCUGCGUCCCAUCAGCUAGUUGGUGAGGUAAUGGCUCACCAAGGCUACGACGGGUAGGGGACCUGAGAGGGGGCCCCCCCACAAUGGAACUGAAACACGGUCCAUACACCUACGGGUGGCAGCAGUAGGGAAUAUUGCACAAUGGGCGAAAGCCUGAUGCAGCAACGCCGCGUGCACGAUGAAGGCCUUCGGGUCGUAAAGUGCUUUUCUGGGAGAUGAGAAAGGACAGUAUCCCAGGAAUAAGUCUCGGCUAACUACGUG
rnacentral:rRNA from 1 species